UUUGCGACUGGUUACUUUGCGAACUUGUUUGCGAACUUGUUUGCUGAAUUCCCAUGAACAACUUCAUGCACUUCCUUAUAUGGAAUAGUCAUGGUUGGUUAAUCAUCGAGAAGUUUGAUUACUUGUUCAAAAUUCGGUUUUGGGAGUUCAGUAAAAUGCCGACAUUCAAUUUCCAUCAAUUCAAUUUUCUUCUAAUGUUAUCAAUGAUCAGUCAGUGUCAAUCAAGAUCGUCCUAUCAAUAUCAGGAAAAUAUUACACACAAUAUCAAAACUGAGGUUAGCUCGUAUAUUGUGAAUGGUUUCAAUACGCCAUUUGGUCGGGAUUUUUUCGUUUCUCUUGCCCAUAGUAAUUUUGAAACAUAUUGCGGGGCAGGGAUUUUGGAACCGUACUGGGUCAUUACGGCUGCUCAUUGCAUAGCUCAUCUUCCAGUGGAAGACAUAUUCGUUCUGGUUUCCGACCUGCCACAAACGGAUUCACCGACACAAAGAGUGGCUCGACUGAACUUUGUUCAAGCGAAGUUCGUGCCUCUCAGCUUUGGACUUCACGAUGGGUAUUUCACGAGUGAUAUCGCGCUUAUCAAACUUCUUCAUCCGAUUAGGAACGCUCGUCGUUUUUUGCCCAUAUGUACUGAUCUUAAUUACAACCUUCACCCAGACAUUCUAGGGAAAAAAAAUCAACAAGACGGAAAUAGCUGACUGAA